rnacentral:rRNA from 1 species
GUAGGUGGCAAGCGUUGUCCGGAAUUAUUGGGCGUAAAGCGCGCGCAGGCGGUUCUCUAAGUCUGAUGUGAAAGCCCACGGCUCAACCGUGGAGGGUCAUUGGAAACUGGAGGACUUGAGUACAGAAGAGGAAAGCGGAAUUCCACGUGUAGCGGUGAAAUGCGUAGAGAUGUGGAGGAACACCAGUGGCGAAGGCGGCUUUCUGGUCUGUAACUGACGCUGAGGCGCGAAAGCGUGGGGAGCAAACAGGAUUAGAUACCCUGGUAGUCCACGCCGUAAACGAUGAGUGCUAAGUGUUAGGGGGUUUCCGCCCCCCUUAGUGCUGCAGCUAACGCAUUAAGCACUCCGCCUGGGAGUACGGCCGCAAGGCUG